AACGAACGCUGGCGGCAUGCCUAACACAUGCAAGUCGAGCGAGGACGUCGGGCCUAUCUGCGGACGGGUGAUUAACGCGUGGGAACUUGCCCUUGGCUUCGGAAUAGCCCUGGGAAACUGGUAGUAAUACCGGAUGAGCCCUUUGGGGGAAAGAGUUAUCGGCGAAGGAUCGGCCCGCGUUGGAUUAGGUAGUUGGUGAGGUAAUGGCCUACCAACCCGAGGAUCCAUAGCUGGUGUGAGAGGAUGACCAGACACACUGGGACUAAGACCCGGCCCAGAAUCUUACGGAAGGGAGCAGAGGGGAAUAUUAUAAAAUGGGGGGAACCAUGACCGAGCCACGACGGGUGAGCGAUGAAGGCAGUAGAGUAGUAAAGUGAUCUUAGAUGGGAAGAUAAUGACGGUAACAGAAGAAGAAGCCCCGGCUAACUACGUG
rnacentral:rRNA from 1 species